UACAGAGGUCUCAAGCGUUGUUCGGAUUCAUUGGGCGUAAAGGGUGCGUAGGCGGCGCGGUAAGUCGGGGUGUGAAAUCUCGGGGCUUAACUCCGAAACUGCAUUCGAUACUGCCGUGCUUGAGGACUGGAGAGGAGACUGGAAUUUACGGUGUAGCGGUGAAAUGCGUAGAUAUCGUAAGGAAGACCAGUGGCGAAGGCGGGGUCUCUGGACAGUUCCUGACGCUGAGGCACGAAGGCCAGGGGGAGCAAAACGGG
rnacentral:rRNA from 1 species